rnacentral:rRNA from 1 species
UACGGAGGAUGCGAGCGUUAUCCGGAUUCAUUGGGUUUAAAGGGUGCGUAGGCGGUUUAAUAAGUCAGGGGUGAAAUCUUUAAGCUUAACUUAAAGGUUGCCUUUGAUACUGUUAGGCUUGAGUACGAUCGAGGUAGGCGGAAUGUGCAGUGUAGCGGUGAAAUGCUUAGAUAUUGCACAGAACACCAAUUGCGAAGGCAGCUUACUAGAACGUCACUGACGCUGAUGCACGAAAGCGUGGGGAUCAAACAGGAUUAGGUACCCUGGUAGUCCACGCCGUAAACGAUGAUCACUUGCUGUCGGCGAUACACAGUCAGUAGCAAAGGGAAACCGAUAAGUGAUCCACCUGGGGAGUACGUUCGCAAGAAUGAA